CUUUUAUAUAUAUCUUAAAUUGAAGCUUAUGUAAUAUCCUUUAAUUUGAAAAAAAAAAAAUUUGACCUCUGAACUUGUCUUUGUGGUGAAAGUUGACAUCAAAGUUAAUAAAAAAUUACGAUUUUUAAUGAUGAACCCUUACAAAUUUUUAUGCCUGUUGAUGUUGAAUGGCAGGUAUCAAAGUGCAACGAAUUGAAUCUUCUUUUUAUAGGAGUUUCUUCCAAAGAAUUGCACUAUAAAUUCCUAAAAUCUCAGAAAAUAAAAAUUGAAACUAAGGGAGACGGAAGUUAUUUUUUAAUGCACUAUCAUAUUGGAUAACAGGUUCAGAUGAGUUUGGUCAAGAAUUACGUAAAAAAAUCAUCGAUGAGUGUAUGCUGAAUCGUCUGAAAUAGCUGCGGCAGCUGAAUAUUUAAAAACAUCAAUAUACGUAUAUACAGAUGACAAUGGAUGGAAUUUUUUUAACAAAGAUGACGUUUUUGGAAAUGAUAAUGGUGAAAAAUGUAUAUACUUGAUUAAUAAAGGAGAACAUUUUAUGCCUAUAGUAGAUACUAUGAACAAAACGUUCGGCACCUAUUGAAGAGAAGUCUGAAAUAGCUGCGGCAGCAAAAUAUUUAAAAACACCAAUAUGCGUAUACACAGAUUACGAUGGAUUGAAAUUAUUCAAUAAAAGUUUUGUUGUUAAAAAUGAUGAAAAUGAAAAAUUUAUAUACUUGAUUUAUGAUAAAGAACAGUACACGCCUGUAAUAAAUGUGAGACCUGUACUAGCAUUUAGAAACCCAGUCUGAAGUCAAUCAGGAACAAAAUCAAGGAGUUACAGUAGAAGUCUCCCCCUUAAAAACAUACUUUUGACCUUCUCUAGCCUCCCAACAAUUUUGGAUCUGCAAAACGGCUGUUAACUGACA